GAUGAACGCUAGCUACAGGCUUAACACAUGCAAGUCGAGGGGAAACGGCAUUUAGUGCUUGCACCGAAUGGACGUCGACCGGCACACGGGUGAGUAACGCGUAUCCAACCUUCCCACAACUAAGGGAUAACCUGCCGAAAGGCAGACUAAUACCUUAUGUAAUCCUUUGAUGGCAUCAGAUAAGGAUAAAAGAUUUAUCGGUAAAGGAUGGGGAUGCGUCUGAUUAGCUUGUUGGUGAGGUAAAGGCUCACCAAGGCGACGAUCAGUAGGGGUUCUGAGAGGAAGGUCCCCCACAUUGGAACUGAGACACGGUCCAAACUCUACGGGAGGCAGCAGUGAGGAAUAUUGGUCAAUGGGCGGAAGCCUGAACCAGCCAAGUAGCGUGCAGGAAGACGGCCCUAUGGGUUGUAAACUGCUUUUAUACGAGAAUAAUUUGAUGCACGUGUGCGUUAUUGCAUGUAUCGUA
rnacentral:rRNA from 1 species